AAGACUGUACUUUCAGGGAUCAUUUCUAUAGUGUGUUACUAAAAAGCCGGGAAUGGUAGCAUGUGCCUGUAGUUCCAGCUACUCUGGAGGCUGAGGGGGUAGGAUUGCUUGAGCCCAAAAGGUUGAGGCUGCAAUCAACCAUGAUGGCACCACUGCACUCCAGCCUGGGCCAGGAGAGUGAGACCCUGCCUGA
ensembl:snoRNA U3 Small nucleolar RNA U3